UGUGUGUGUAUGUGUGCGUGUGAUGGAUGAUUCAAAAACCUAUGGCCUCUGAUAUGCUUUGCUAGAAAAUGAAUCCCACUCUUAAGAAUUUCUAAUCUAUGAGAAAAAAACCUGAGAGAGGGGCACAUUGAAUUGGGAGUGCGUGAGGAAAGAAGGAAAGGGUUUAAAGAUGGAUGGAAUGUUGCUAAGAGACAGGACAGCAACACAAGGUGACUCCAUGGACACUGGAACCUGGGACGGGAGGCAGUUAGAAAGGGGGGUGCAUGCAGGAGAGGUUCCCCAAGCAAACUUAGCCCACUUCCCACAUCCAACCAGAGCCAGUGAGAGCCUCUCUCAGGAUUCUCAGCCUGAGGAAAGCAGUUCUGUGUACUUAGAUGGAAGAGAAAGCUGUAUCGGACCAGUGGCUCAAAAAAUAGUUUUAAGAACCCGAGUCUUAGCCAUUUUCUCAUUACUGUGUUCUUCCAAUGCCAUUUAAAAAAAAAAUUCAACCUCCUGUCUAAAAACUUUUCCAAUUUACUCUUUUGAGAAAACUUUAUAUCCUGUGGAUCUCUGAUACUGUCCUCAGAUGCGCUUCUCAGAAAAUCUGUCCUGGUUUGCGAGGACUUUGGAACAACGAGAAACAAUGAGCUACCUGGAGAAAAAUACCCACAGGCUCAGCACACCUACCAGCUUUUUGCUCAGAUGCCAAAGAAGAAAGGGAAAGAACAGACGAGGCACGAUAAACACAAUGGCGUGUGGUCCUGCUGCGUUUGUCUGAGGCCGCUCAACACCGAAAGUCAGUUCAUCUCCUCCCAGGAAGGAGUGUUUGUAAAUUGUAUCAAAAUGAUUCUGGACUCUCAGGCAGGCUGAUUGGCCUGGACUCCUGGAAGCAGUUAGAGAAGCACUCAUUUGUAAUGUCAUGUUGGUUUCUUAUUAUUUAAUAUGUCAGCCAAGGGAGAAAAUGCCCAGAUAUUUGUGCUCA